UCACGCGCACAUAAAGGUGCGCACGUGUUCCCCGUCAUCAUCGCCUCUGAAUAACGCGCGGCUUGUUGUUCUUCGUUGCUUAUACCUCUCUCUCUAUAUAUAUAGGUGUAUGCGUAUAUACGUGUAGAUGUAGGUGUAUAUCUCGAUCUAUAUAGGUGUAUAUAUAUAUAUCAAGAGAGAGAGCGACAUCAGGCAUCCUAUCACCUUUUGCGUUGGAUGUCGUCAUCGAAGGCAACAUCGCAUCCGAGCAAAACGGCAUUAACUGACGAAGCGUAACAACAACAACAGCAAAAAAAAAGUACAGCGCUGUGCCGUCUCUUCACCCUUGUCGUGUGUCCGCGCACUCUGUGACCCUCGGCCAUUCGUCGUCUGCCGCUAGUCAUCAACACCUUCGGUAACUAACCGCAUCGAUCGUGCACGUAACUUUUAAGCACGAAAAAAAAUUGUGAGGAACUGAAGAUCGUCAUCGUCCAUCUUCACCUGCUCCCUCCCCCCGACACACACACACGCACACACUGCACGCAAGCAGACCAAGUCAUAUGGGCACUGGAACUGGUGGUUUCUAUAAUGAGCGCUCGUAUGCAGUUUCCGCUGUCGCAGCGACGGCACACGAACAUCGCCGUGGUUCGGUAUUCAAAGAACGGGGUCAGGCUGGAGAUUGCAUGCUACAAGAACAAGGUCAUCUCGUACCGCAGCGGUACGGAGAGCCGCUUGGAUGAGGUACUCCAGGUCGAGCGCAUUUUCGCGAACGUCGCUCGUGGCUAUCUCGCCUCGGAGAAGGAAAUUCAGACCGUCUUUGGGAGUGAGAUGACGGAAGCGGAAGCGAUCAAGUACAUGCUGGACCACGGUGAACUGCAGGUAGCGCAGCAGGAACGCACGGCGGAGGUGGAUGAAAUGUUCAAGGACAUUGCGGUCAUCAUCUCGCAAAAGUGCAUCAACACCAAGACGCAGCGCCCCUUCCCCCCGCAGGUGGUCGAGCAGGCACUCCGCUCCAUCGGGGCUGCCGUGAAGCUCGAUCAGUCGGUAAAGAAGCAAGCGCUGGGCCUCAUUCACCUCCUCAUCGACUCCGGCAUUCUCCCCAUCGCGCGGGCCAACAUGAAGAUUCGCUGCACGACGACGUCCGAGGCGGCGCUCGAGAAGCUGCGUGGUUGGUGCCGCGACAACGAAGCCGAUGUGGUGAGCGACUCGGUAACGGGCAACACUAGCGGCGGCGGCAACGGCAAUUUUGGUCAUGCGCUGCUGCUGCUGAUGCAGCCAAACCUGUUCCGUGACCUCGACCACUUCGUAAAGGAGGCGCUCCCCUCUGGAAGCACAAUCCACAUGGUGGAAGCCGCCGUGACGGAGGUGGGUGAUUCGGAUGUUCUGUUUGACGUCAACGCCGUCUCGCACGCCAACGCGCAACCAGGACUUGCAGAGGAAAAGGCUACCACGGCUGGCUCGAGACGCGCGGCAGCCGCCCCAUCGUCGUCGUCCGCUGGCGGGGUCAGCGGUGGCCGCAGUGAUGGCCGCGGUGGUGGGACAGGCAUGAGCAGCAACCUCGGUCAGGGCGCGGAUAACGCCUCUAGUGGGCAGCACCACAGCGACGGUGAAGGCAAGCGGGGCCGCACGAGCAAGGCGAAGGGUGCCACGCGACGCGGCCACCGAGGUCGGCAGUGCAACGACAGCGAUGACGACGAUCUACUAGACAGCGGCACGGACGGUGCUGCGGACGGUGGCUUGGGGGUCGACCACGACAUCGCGGUUGGGUUACAGCAGCUUGGCCUGGACCCCUCACAUGACCUCCAAGACGACAGCGACGAUGAUGGGGGCCGCGGCCGCGGUGGCAGAGGCAAGAGGAAGAAGAACGCCAGCGGCACAGGCGGCGGCCCUUACCAAAGCCAAGGCGCAGGGGGAAGGAAGGCCGGCGGUGGUGCCGCAGCGGUUGAAGACGAUGACAACGACGGAAAGGGAAAGAAGGGGAGGAAAAACGCGAAGAGCAAAAAGGUGGCCGCAGCAAAGAAGGCGAAGCCGGGGGCAGAGGGGGCCUUCAGCGACAGCGACGAGGAACUGAUGGGCAACCGCAAGCAGCGCGCCAAGAAGCAGCAGGAGACGCAGAUGCAGCAGGGCGGCAACGACUGGCAUGAAGAAGACUUUGACUACGGCGAAGACGAGGAGGCGGAGGAGCAGUUGAACUAGCGCGCGUAUGCUCUGAGCUGUGCUCUUUCACUCCUACGCCGACCCUGCGUCCUUCUACGGCCACUCGGACGCGCGCGGAUAUCUGCCACGCUUCUUCACCCGAGUCUUUGUCACGAGGUGUCAACGGAUUGCUGGCUCGGCGAGGGUGUGGCGAAAUACCCUCUCUUCUCUCAGCUCCGCUUUUCGGCUCGUUUCCGUCGUAACGCCGCCGCUUGCACCGCCACGGCGAGAAUAGCUGGUUCUAUGACGUUACUUCGAGAAACACCAUGAAGUGGAAAGCAGAACAACGAGGGUAGCGUGGUGGGGUCUGCCUGCAUGGCCACGCAUGUGUACGGUUGACAGGAGGAGGGCACAGAUGUGGCACUGUCCGUGUAACGUGAGAGAUUCUCACGUGUCUACGUUUGAGCUGCUCUUUUUUUUCCCCCCUCUGGAAUGUGAACGAUGGCGCAGUGCCAUGCACCCACAGCCUCUCUGCCAGUGGUCUCUUACCUUCAUCCUGCUGCCUUCAUGUGCAUGCACAUACACCCACGCGGGCACAGACGCUCGAACUGAUGCGCGCGGCCCCGCGACCGUAUAAUACGAUGAGAAAGAUACACGCUCUGCGUCGACGGUAAGCAGGACAGUCGAGGGACGCAUGAAAAGCGCGCGGUGUUCAGCGCAUGCGCCUUUUCUUUCGAUGCUCUCGUCCCGAUUCUUCCCCUCCUCUUCUACCUGCUUCACUGUGCAUCGCAAUCUCGCGCGC
rnacentral:misc_RNA from 1 species